GGGCUUGGAGAAAUUGUCUGCCUCUCGACGAUCGAAGUACUCGCCUGACCGAGGUGGUGAACGUCUCGUUCACCGCGCGUUCGCUCAGUCGCCUCCUUUCCUCGAGUGCGCUUUUCGCCGCAGCCGCCGAUCUCCGAGAGUUUGUUUUUCUUUUCUGUGACACGCGUGAUUCGAAGGUGGUGCAUUGGCAGUUUUCAGUGAGGUGAUUUCGACGAAAUCUAUUUUUUUUUUACUUGUGACAAACGCCAUUAAUUGGAAAUUUUCAUCCGUACGUUCGAGGAAUUAGCGAACGGGACGUUCAAUAUCUUCGAAGCGGAAAGCGGAAGGCGUGCAGGAGAUGCAUUUACCGAUAUCCAGGCUUCUUAAAAAAAAAAAAAAAAA